rnacentral:lncRNA from 1 species
GCAAUGCCUGAAUCUGGGUGACUGGGGAAACGGGAAGUGGAGGGGUGGGAGACAGCUUGGCUGGAUGUGGAGGUGGAGAGGAGAUGAGAAGAAAAGAUUGCCUCUGGAGUCAGUGACCUGGAGGGGCAAGUAACCCACCCAUGCCUUGUAGGUGCAAGUCUGGAAAUUACUUGUGUAAGAAAAGAGAAGCUUGGUGACAUGGUGAGGUCAGUCCCAUCUGAUUCAAUGAACAAUUGCAAAACCUGGCAAUCCGGAUGAAGCCAAGCAUUCUGAAUCUUAAUUUAUUUUUCUGUUUUUCCAAUAAAAA